rnacentral:sRNA from 1 species
AUAGACCAUGUGGCUACCCCGUGAAGCACCUGCACAGUUGAGGGGCUCCAGUUCACACCCUGCCUUCUGCUGCUUAAACCCACCCUGAGAAAGCUGUUCUCUCUAGAGCGAAGGCGGGGGACUCUUGCAGGAGGAUAGGGAGAGAGGAUGGGGACGUAGGCAGAGAUGUCUAUUCUCUGUUACUCGCCGAUACUUUCCCCCAUUUCCUGAAGAAGAGACUGAGGCUCAGAGUGGAGUGAUUUGCUCAAGGUAAAGCUAGAAGUGGGGAACUGUCUGACUCCAACACGUGAGCGCCCAGCGCUGCGUCUCCUGCCCCCACUGUACAUGCGCAAGUGAAGAACCUGCAUUUGAGGCAGCUUCCUGGGGCACAGCCCUCGGACCUUGGAGCAGGGCCCCUUCAGGAAAGGCCAGAAACACCUUUAGCCCACGAGCUGCGUCUCAGCUGCAUGGAGAGGAAAAAGGUCCAGAUUCGAAGCAUGGAUCCCUCCGCCUUGGCAAGCGACCGAUUUAACCUCAUACUGGCAGAUACCAACAGUGACCGGCUCUUCACAGUGAACGAUGUUAA